rnacentral:rRNA from 1 species
GACGAACGCUGGCGGCGUGCUUAACACAUGCAAGUCGAACGGAAAGGCCCUGCUUUUGUGGGGUGCUCGAGUGGCGAACGGGUGAGUAACACGUGAGUAACCUGCCCUUUACUUUGGGAUAACUUCAGGAAACUGGGGCUAAUACCGGAUAGGAGCUCCUUCUGCAUGGUGUGGGUUGUAAAGUUUCGGCGUUUGGGGAUGGACUGGCGGCUUAUCAGCUUAUUGGUGGGGUAGUGGCUUACCAAGGCUUUGACGGGUAGCCGGCCUGAGAGGGUGACCGGCCCCAUUGGGACUGAGGUAGGGCCCAGACUGCUACGGGAGGCAGCAGUGGGGAAUAUUGCACGAUGGGCGGAAGCCUGAAGCAGCAACUUCGGGUGCUGGAUGACGGCUUUCGGGGUGUAAACCGCGUUCGCGUGUGACGAAGCGUGAGUGACGGUAAUGGGUAAAGAAGCAACGGCUAACUACGUG